GGGUGCGAUCAUACCAGCGUUAAUUCACCGGAUCCCAUCAUAACUCCGCAGUUAAGCGCGCUUGGGCUAGAGUAGUACUGGGAUGGGUGACCUCCCAAGAAGUCCUAGUGUUGCACCCU
rnacentral:rRNA from 1 species